rnacentral:rRNA from 1 species
AUUGAACGCUGGCGGCAUGCUUUACACAUGCAAGUCGAACGGCAGCGCGGGCUUCGGCCUGGCGGCGCGUGGCGAACGGGUGAGUAAUACAUCGGAACGUCCCCAGUAGUGGGGGAUAGCUCGGUGAAAGCCGGAUUAAUACCGCAUACGACCUGAGGGUGAAAGCGGGGGAUCUUCGGACCUCGCCCUCUUGGAGCGGCCGAUGGCAGAUUAGCUAGUUGGUGGGGUAAAGGCCUACCAAGGCGACGAUCUGUAGCUGGUCUGAGAGGACGACCAGCCACACUGGGACUGAGACACGGCCCAGACUCCUACGAGAGGCAGCAGUGGGGAAUUUUGGACAAUGGGCGAAAGCCUGAUCCAGCAAUGCCGCGUGUGUGAUGAAGGCCUUCGGGUUGUAAAGCACUUUUGGCGGGAACGAAAAGGACUGUGCCAAUACCACGGUUCGAUGACGGUACCCGCAGAAUAAGCACCGGCUAACUACGUG